rnacentral:rRNA from 1 species
GACGAACGCUGGCGGCGUGCCUAAUACAUGCACGUAGGACGCAGUUGCGAACGGGCGAGUAACGCGUAGGUAACUACCUAUUAGAGGGGGAUAACUAUUGGAAACGAUAGCUAAUACCGCACACUAGUAGAUGGACCUGCGUUGUAUUAGCUAGUAGGUAGGGUAAUGGCCGACCUAGGCAACGAUACAUAUCCGACCUGAGAGGGUGAUCGGCAACGCUGGGACGGAGACACGGCCCAGACUGCUACGGGAGACAGCAGUAGGGAGUCUUCGGCGAUGGGGGGAACCCUGACCGAGCAACGCCGCGUGAGUGAAGAAGGUUUUCGGAUCGUAAAGCUCUGUUGUUAAGGAAGCGGUACUUAACCAGAAAGGGACGGCUAACUACGUGCCAGCCGCCGCGGUAAUUC